AUGUCUAAGAUGAACCUGGCUCUGAUCCACGACAGACUCCACAUCAAGUCCUUCUGGGAGAAGAAGAUCAACGCUGAGUGUCAGCAUGUGGAGAGGGAGCAGCAGAGGAGGAGCAGCAGCGCGCUUAGCAAGCUGAGGGGGGAGUGGCUGGUCCGGCUUGAGAACCGAAACAAGCACCUGAAGAACCUCAAUGACAGCUUUGUGAAGAAGGCGAAGGAACCAGCGCAAACAUGAGCUGCAGAAACACAAAAACCCAUUUUCCUGAUCCCAGUGUUAAAGAGAGCAAUAAAUGAGUUGUUGAUCAAAAUCGUCUUCUGAUC
rnacentral:lncRNA from 1 species